UAGCACUCCCACUGCUCUAUGUUACCUUAUUUCCUUCUCUCUUUACAAAGGAUUGUCUUGGGAUUAAGCCCCAAAGGAAAGAACACCAGCUUUACUGCAAAGCAAUUUGGCAGUAUGACAACUGAAGUACAAAGAUUUCAAGCAGUUUGGCAGUAAAGGCAGAGUAAGAGAAAAGGACAUGGUACAAUGUGAAGCUUAGUGAAUGGGACUUAGGUGAGAUACAUCCCUUUGUGAGCCAAAAUUUCUCCACCUGAAAGAGUCAUAGAGAAGAUGGUUUCUAAAUUG